rnacentral:rRNA from 1 species
AAUUUUGGACAAUGGGGGAAACCCUGAUCCAGCCAUCACGCGUGUAUGAUGAAGGCCUUCGGGUUGUAAAGUACUUUUGGCAGAGAAGAAAAGGUAGCUUCUAAUACGAGAUACUGCUUACGGUAUCUGCAGAUUAAGCACCGGCUAACUACGUGCAUUCAGCCUCGGUAAUACGUAGGGUGCAAGCGUUAAUCGGGAUUACUGGGCGUAAAGCGUGUGUAGGCGGUUCGGAAAGAAAGAUGUGGAAUCCCAGGGCUCAACCUUGGAACUGCAUUUUUAACUGCCGAGCUAGAGUAUGUCAGAGGGGGGUAGAAGUCCACGUGUAGCAGUGAAAUGCGUAGAUAUGUGGAGGAAUACCGAUGGCGAAGGCAGCCCCCUGGGAUAAUACUGACGCUCAGACACGAAAGCGUGGGGAGCGAACAGG